AUGGAUUAUCAAGGGAGCAAUGUCAAAAAUUUCCUUCACGCUAAUGGACAUGUGGUGCUUGAAAGAGUGGAUAACAACUAUAAUCUAAGAUCUUUCACUCAAAAAGAGAUAGAAGACAUCACCGGUGGGUACAACACUAUUCUGGGAGAAGGGGAAUUUGGUAAGGUUUACCAAGGAAAACUAGAUAAUGAUCGCCCAGUCGCAGUAAAGAUAUAUAAAAAUGGAACCAAGAAAGAAGAGUUUGCCAAAGAGGUGAUAGUGCAUUCCCAGAUAAAUCACAAGAAUGUUGUCAGACUGUUUGGUUGCUGCACAGAGGUAAAUGCUCUUACGAUUGUUAUGGAGUUUGUAUGCAAUGGCAACCUGUACAACAUCCUUCACUGCAGCAGGAGCAAUGCUAAUGGUUCUAUCCCCUUCCCUUUGGACAAACGUUUGGACAUCGCCAUUGAGUCAGCUGAAGCACUAUCAUGCAUGCAUUCAAUGUACAGUCCUGUUCUUCAUGGUGACAUCAAACCUUCUAAUAUACUGCUAGAUGAAAAUCUUCGGCCAAAGAUAUCGGAUUUUGGGAUAGCAAGAUUGCUUGCUGCUGAUGAGACACAACGUACCAGAUAUGUCAUUGGUUGCAUAGGUUACAUGGACCCUUUGUUUUGUCAGAGUGGGAUACUAACCCCGAAGAACGAUGUAUACAGUUUUGGAGUCGUUUUGCUGGAAAUCAUCACCCGGAAAAAAGCUGUGGAUGGGAACAUCAUCCUUGCUCAAACCUUUUCUGAAGCACUGAGAAAAGGGAAAAAGAUGAGACAAAUGUUUGAUGUGGAAAUUGCGAAUGAUAAAAAGAACAUGAAAUUUCUUGAAGAUGUUGCAAAACUAGCAGCCGAGUGCUUAAAAAUGGAGGGCAAAAUGCGUCCUGAAAUGGUUGAAGUAGCGGAUAGACUUAGAACAAUUAGAAAAGCUUACCACCAGCACAAGGGCAGAAGUUCUGCAGGUAGCAGCUCUGGUCUUACUAUAAGUGGAAAGACAGAGGAUGUGCCUUCCCCUAUCCCUAUUACCGCUGCUACUGUUAACAACACUGACAGAAUUCCACCAUCAGCGGUACCGACCAUUUCCAUGGAUGACCUGAAGGAAAUAACCAGGAACUUUAGCAAUGAUGCUCUUAUAGGAGAGGGCUCAAACAAUAAAGUUUUUUUCGGAGUGCUGGAGGAUGGACAUAAAUCUGCGAUCAAGAAGCCUAGGCCUACUACAAAAAAUGUUUUGGAGGUUCCGAUGGUCUCAAGAUUCAAACAUGAAAAUGUUAUCCAGCUUCUCGGAUACUGUGUUGAAGGAGACAACCACAUUCUUGCUUAUGAGUAUGCAUCCAGGGGAUCCUUGUUUGAUAUUCUUCAUGGUAAAAAGAAUGUCAGGGGAGCCGAACCAGGACCAGUUCUGUCCUGGGCACAGCGUGUGAAGAUUUCCAUGGGUGCUGCAACUGGCCUACAAUUCCUCCACAAGAAGACACAGCCUUGCGCUGUCCACGAUGGCAUCAAAUCCAGCAACAUAUUUCUCUUCGACAACGACGUUGCAAAAAUUGGUUGGCCUGGUGUUUACAGACAGAAGCCCCCUAUAGACAAUAUCUUUUUGGAUCGUAUUAACUUUACUACCGGUUACGGUUAUGAUGCGCCUGAGUAUCUAAUGAACGGACAACUUUCUACAAUGAGGGAUGUCUACAGCUUCGGGGUCGUGCUGCUGGAACUUUUAACUGGUCGAAAGGCAGUUGAUCAUACACUACCAUGUGGCCAACAAUCCCUCGUGACGUGGGCUACACCAAGACUUCCUGAAUGCAAGGUGCAAGAAUGCGUGGAUCUGAGGCUAGGAGGAGAUUACCCUCCUAAGGCUGUCGCCAAGAUGGCUGCAAUCGCGGCGUGUUGUAUACAGUACAAGGCCGACUUCCGGCCACGAAUGAGCACCGUCGUCCGGCUUCUGAGGACUAUUUCCGCCGAUACCGAAGCACAUCUGGAAUCUGAGGCAUCGUCCAAGCAGUGA
rnacentral:rRNA from 1 species